UCGAACGAGUUCUCGUUGAUGAUCGGUGCUUGCACCGAGAUUCAACAUGGAACGAGUGGCGGACGGGUGAGUAACACGUGGGUAACCUGCCCUUAAGUGGGGGAUAACAUUUGGAAACAGAUGCUAAUACCGCAUAGAUCCAAGAACCGCAUGGUUCUUGGCUGAAAGAUGGCGUAAGCUAUCGCUUUUGGAUGGACCCGCGGCGUAUUAGCUAGUUGGUGAGGUAAUGGCUCACCAAGGCGAUGAUACGUAGCCGAACUGAGAGGUUGAUCGGCCACAUUGGGACUGAGACACGGCCCAAACUCCUACGGGAGGCAGCAGUAGGGAAUCUUCCACAAUGGACGCAAGUCUGAUGGAGCAACGCCGCGUGAGUGAAGAAGGCUUUCGGGUCGUAAAACUCUGUUGUUGGAGAAGAAUGGUCGGCAGAGUAACUGUUGCCGGCGUGACGGUAUCCAACCAGAAAGCCACGGCUAACUACGUGCCAGCAGCCGCGGUAAUACGUAGGUGGCAAGCGUUAUCCGGAUUUAUUGGGCGUAAAGCGAGCGCAGGCGGUUUUUUAAGUCUGAUGUGAAAGCCCUCGGCUUAACCGAGGAAGCGCAUCGGAAACUGGGAAACUUGAGUGCAGAAGAGGACAGUGGAACUCCAUGUGUAACGGUGAAAUGCGUAGAUAUAUGGAAGAACACCAGUGGCGAAGGCGGCUGUCUGGUCUGUAACUGACGCUGAGGCUCGAAAGCAUGGGUAGCGAACAGGAUUAGAUACCCUGGUAGUCCAUGCCGUAAACGAUGAAUGCUAGGUGUUGGAGGGUUUCCGCCCUUCAGUGCCGCAGCUAACGCAUUAAGCAUUCCGCCUGGGGAGUACGACCGC
rnacentral:rRNA from 1 species